UGAGGAACAUGACCUUCGGCGGGGGAUAGCCGGCCCAACGGCCGGGUAAUACCGCGUACGACCACAUGGGGACAUCCCUGAGUGGUGAAAGCAGCAAUGCGCCGAUGGAGUGCCUCGCGGCCUAUCAGCUAGUUGGUGGGGUAACGGCCCACCAAGGCGACGACGGGUAGCUGGUCUGAGAGGAUAGCCAGCCACAUUGGGACUGAGACACGGCCCAGACUCCUACGGGAGCAG
rnacentral:rRNA from 1 species